GCAUAUGUUAUGAUGAUGCAAUGACUCAGUGAAAUAAUGAGUGUAACACUUAGUAUAAUGUAUUCAAUAAAAACCACCUACUUUUAUUUGGUUGGGGUGGGCAGUGUAGUGGAGGUUGCGAUGACGUUGAAAAGCUUUUCUCAUCACCAGGGCCGUGGCAUUGGAAGCCGAGGAGGAGGUGCAAGAGAAAGCUGUUGGCCAGGCCACCAGGCUGACACUGCCACGCUUCUCUCAAAUGGGCUGCAAUUUUUAUUUUAACUUGAAGAACUCGGGCG
rnacentral:lncRNA from 1 species